UACUUCUCUGUGUUCCUUCCUGCUUCUGCAGGGUGACUCCAUAAAGUUACGCAGUGGCUGCCUGGGGUAAAAAUUGAUUUUGUGUGGGUUUAGAGCCUGGUACAGAGGAGUCACAUACAACCACUGCUAACACUUUUUGCAGUGCUGAAAAGGCAUGUUAUAUUAUUAAGCUCAUUGACAUUUAAAACAUGACCUGUAUUUGGUUACAUUCUUAUUGUAUCCUACAGGACUUUGUCAUCAGAAAUUCCAUCAAACCCCAAGUCUUUUGGUGUGCUGUGGAUGAGCUGUCAGAAGAUCCAGUAACACUGCAGGUGACAUGAAUCCCAAGCCUGAAUCAUGCAAUGAGCUCUGUCCUUCAUGGCAUCUUCAGCAGAUUCCUCUGAGCUUGAAUUUUCAAAAGCUGUUAUAAAUCCAAGCCCUGCAGUUCUACACUGGAAGCAGAACCAUGUCAUACCUCCAGAUGAAAGGAUUUUAAGCCAGCUGCACAGUUGUCUUCUACAGCAGGCUUUCUGAAGCCAAAUCCUGCUGAAAGAAAUAACAUUACUGGAGCUACUGGAUGAGGAGGAAAAGUUGGCAAAAACACAAUAAAAGUUUGUUUACAUGUGUCCAAUGAUUUAAUCCAGAUUGAGAAGAUCACAAUGGCUUUUGCUGCCAUGUUGGAUGCAAUUGAUGACACACUUUGGUUUCUUUCCUGGUGUACACAGUGUGUGCUGCGGUGCAGAGGAUUCCAGCUGCCAUAAUUUUCAGUGGAAAGAAUAAUGAUCACAGGGAACUUUUCUGCAGGAGAUUUGCUGCCACACUGAAUUGGCAAGAAUCUUGCAGGAAAAUACACAAGGCUUUGCAGCAGAGAUCAGCUGUGGAACCUUGCUAUCAACACUGCAAGCUGAGAUCCUUCUUUCAUGCAAAUUAUGACUUCUUCUGUGAGCAAGUGAUAAGCUUUUUCAAACAGCAUGGUAACCUAGCAAAUAAAAAGCCUCCUUAUUUGCUUG